rnacentral:rRNA from 1 species
GAUGAACGCUGGCGGCGUGCCUAAUACAUGCCAGUCGAGCGAACGGACGAGAAGCUUGCUUUUCUGAUGUUAGCGGCGGACGGGUGAGUAACACGUGGAUAACCUACCUAUAAGACUGGGAUAACUUCGGGAAACCGGAGCUAAUACCGGAUAAUAUUUUGAACCGCAUGGUUCAAAAGUGAAAGACGGUCUUGCUGUCACUUAUAGAUGGAUCCGCGCUGCAUUAGCUAGUUGGUAAGGUAACGGCUUACCAAGGCAACGAUGCAUAGCCGACCUGAGAGGGGGAUCGGCCACACUGGAACUGAGACACGGUCCAGACUCCUACGGGAGGCAGCAGUAGGGAAUCUUCCGCAAUGGGCGAAAGCCUGACGGAGCAACGCCGCGUGAGUGAUGAAGGUCUUCGGAUCGUAAAACUCUGUUAUUAGGGAAGAACAUAUGUGUAAGUAACUGUGCACAUCUUGACGGUACCUAAUCAGAAAGCCACGGCUAACUACGUG